rnacentral:misc_RNA from 1 species
AAGUCGUAACAAGGUAACCGUAGGUGAACCUGCGGUUGGAUCAUUACUAAAUUACUUUGACCUGAGGUUGAGUUCAAAAUUCUUUUGAAAUCCCUCAGUGUCAUAAACAUUUUGUGCAUCUAUUGUGUAUUUGGGUUAUUUCUUUUUCGAAAGGAUUAACCCAACAAUGAAUAUAAACCAUUAUUCUUUUUUUUUUGACUGAAAUAAAUUGAAAAAUUUAUAAACAACUUUUGACAACGGAUCUCUUGGUUCUC